UGCGUAGGGUGCGAGCGUUAAUCGGAAUUACUGGGCGUAAAGCGUGCGCAGGCGGUUUUGUAAGUCAGAUGUGAAAGCCCCGGGCUCAACCUGGGAAUGGCAUUUGGGACUGCAAGGCUUGAGUGCGGCAGAGGAGACUGGAAUUCCUGGUGUAGCAGUGAAAUGCGUAGAUAUCAGGAGGAAUACCGAUGGCGAAGGCAGGUCUCUGGGCUGACACUGACGCUCAUGCACGAAAGCGUGGGGAGCAAACAGG
rnacentral:rRNA from 1 species